GUCUAGUGGUAUGAUUCUCGCUUUGGGUGCGAGAGGUCCGGGGUUCGAUUCCCUGUUGU
rnacentral:tRNA from 1 species